rnacentral:rRNA from 1 species
ACGGGAGGCAGCAGUGGGGAAUCUUGGACAAUGGGGGAAACCCUGAUCCAGCGACGCCGCGUGAGUGAAGAAGUAUUUCGGUAUGUAAAGCUCUAUCAGCAGGGAAGAAAAUGACGGUACCUGACUAAGAAGCCCCGGCUAACUACGUGCCAGCAGCCGCGGUACUACGUAGGGGGCAAGCGUUAUCCGGAUUUACUGGGUGUAAAGGGAGCGUAGACGGCAAGGCAAGUCUGAAGUGAAAGCUCGGGGCUCAACCCCGGAACUGCUUUGGAAACUGUCAUGCUAGGGUGCAGGAGAGGUAAGUGGAAUUCCUAGUGUAGCGGUGAAAUGCGUAGAUAUUAGGAGGAACACCAGUGGCGAAGGCGGCUUACUGGACUGUAACUGACGUUGAGGCUCGAAAGCGUGGGGAGCAAACAGGAUUAGAUACCCUGGUA